UUAGCAAGACUCUCCUGUAUGUGGUUACAUUGUCACACCGACCAGAAGAUUCCGAAUCAGAAGCUGACUCCAGAGAGCAAGCAGCUGGAAAGUUUCACUGUAGAUAUACAUGUGUUUUCUUAAGUUAAUAAGUUGUACAUAUAUUUCCUCUGUAUAUGUAAAGAUGCUAUAAGCUAAGGUGUCUACUUUUUCAGCUUUCUCUACCAAAAAACCUCG
rnacentral:misc_RNA from 1 species